rnacentral:rRNA from 1 species
CCUACGGGUGGCAGCAGUGGGGAAUAUUGGACAAUGGGCGCAAGCCUGAUCCAGCCAUGCCGCGUGAGUGAUGAAGGCCCUAGGGUUGUAAAGCUCUUUUACCUGGGAAGAUAAUGACUGUACCAGGAGAAUAAGCCCCGGCUAACUUCGUGCCAGCAGCCGCGGUAAUACGAAGGGGGCUAGCGUUGUUCGGAAUCACUGGGCGUAAAGCGCACGUAGGCGGAUUUUUAAGUCAGGGGUGAAAUCCCGGGGCUCAACCUCGGAACUGCCUUUGAUACUGGAAAUCUCGAGUCCGGGAGAGGUGAGUGGAACUGCGAGUGUAGAGGUGAAAUUCGUAGAUAUUCGCAAGAACACCAGUGGCGAAGGCGGCUCACUGGCCCGGUACUGACGCUGAGGUGCGAAAGCGUGGGGAGCAAACAGGAUUAGAUACCCUAGUAGUC